GACGUAGGGCGCGAGCGUUGUCCGGAAUUAUUGGGCGUAAAGAGCUCGUAGGCGGUUUGUCGCGUCUGCUGUGAAAGACCGGGGCUCAACUCCGGUUCUGCAGUGGGUACGGGCAGACUAGAGUGAUGUAGGGGAGACUGGAAUUCCUGGUGUAGCGGUGAAAUGCGCAGAUAUCAGGAGGAACACCGAUGGCGAAGGCAGGUCUCUGGGCAUUAACUGACGCUGAGGAGCGAAAGCAUGGGGAGCGAACAGG
rnacentral:rRNA from 1 species